rnacentral:rRNA from 1 species
UAUCAGUAUCCUGAGUAGGGCGGGACACGUGAAAUCCCGUUUGAAUCCGCGAGGACCAUCUCGCAAGGCUAAAUACUAACCAGUGACCGAUAGUGAACCAGUACCGUGAGGGAAAGGUGAAAAGAACCCCGGGAGGGGAGUGAAAGAGAACCUGAAACCGUGUGCCUACAAGUAGUCAGAGCCCGUUAACGGGUAAUGGCGUGCCUUUUGUAGAAUGAACCGGCGAGUUGCGUUAGUCAGCAAGGUUAAGUCAGAAAAGACGGAGCCGUAGCGAAAGCGAGUCUGAAGAGGGCGAGCAGUUGGCUGACGCAGACCCGAAACCAAGUGACCUACCCAUGACCAGGUUGAAGGCGCGGUAAAACGCGCUGGAGGACCGAACCCACGUAAGUUGAAAAUUGCGGGGAUGAGUUGUGGGUAGCGGUGAAAUUCCAAACGAACUUGGAGAUAGCUGGUUCUCUCCGAAAUAGCUUUAGGGCUAGCCUCGCAAAGAGGAUGCUGGAGGUAGAGCUCUGUUUGGACUAGGGGCCCGUCAAGGGUUACUGAAUUCAGAUAAACUGCGAAUUCCAGACAUUUAUGUGCGGGAGUCAGACUGCGAGUGAUAAGAUCCGUAGUCGAAAGGGAAACAGCCCAGAUCACCAGUUAAGGUCCCAAAAUUCAUGCUAAGUGGAAAAGGAUGUGGAGUUGCGCAGACAACUAGGACGUUGGCUCAGAAGCAGCCAUCAUUCAAAGAGUGCGUAAUAGCUCACUAGUCGAGUGACGCCGCGCCGAAAAUUUACCGGGGCUAAGCAUGAUACCGAAACUGUGGAUGUGCGUUUAUGCACGUGGUAGGAGAGCGUUCUAGCGGCGGUGAAGCAUGAC